rnacentral:rRNA from 1 species
GAUGAACGCUAGCUACAGGCUUAACACAUGCAAGUCGAGGGGAAACGAUAUUGGAAGCUUGCUUCCGAUAGGCGUCGACCGGCGCACGGGUGAGUAACGCGUAUCCAACCUGCCCAUCACUUGGGGAUAACCUUGCGAAAGUAAGACUAAUACCCAAUGAUAUUUAUAGAAGGCAUCCGAAAUGAAUUAAAGAUUUAUCGGUGAUGGAUGGGGAUGCGUCUGAUUAGCUUGUUGGCGGGGUAACGGCCCACCAAGGCGACGAUCAGUAGGGGUUCUGGGAGGAAGGUCCCCCACAUUGGAACUGAGACACGGUCCAAACUCCUACGGGAGGCAGCAGUGAGGAAUAUUGGUCAAUGGGCGAGAGCCUGAACCAGCCAAGUAGCGUGCAGGAUGACGGCCCUAUGGGUUGUAAACUGCUUUUAUAGGGGAAUAAAGUGAGCUACGUGUAGUUUUUUGCAUGUACCCUAUGAAUAAGGACCGGCUAAUUCCGUGCCAGCCGCCGCGGUAA